CACUAAAAGAUGUAGGUGGUAAAGAGUAGCUCAAAAUUGAAAGGAAGUAUUAUUUUUAUACAAACUUGUCCUAAAUGAAGUAAUGGCAUAAUUUUUCUUCUGCUAGGUUUUGUGAAAAUUUUGCUAAAGACUUGACUGGCUAAAAUAAGGUCUGUUAUUAGUCAUGUGUAGCUGGAAAAUGAGAAAAUAAGGCACUGGAAGACAUAUUCUAAUGAAUCUAAACCAGUGUAAGUUCUCAAACACACCCGUCCCAUUUUUACUUUUUAUUCAAUGUUACUCUUUCCACAGAAGAGUUUGCAAAAUUAAGCACCCAGAUGUUUCUUGUCUCCUGAAGAUUGGAGUCUUGCACCUCUCUUGGAGUUUGCUCUUUCUGCAAUGUAAAGUCAAGCCAUUGAAUUUGAGAGGUGUUAGUGAGGAGGUAAAAGGUAUUCUGCAUCACUCCUGUGGAGAUUUUGCUUCUGAAGGAAUCAGCAAGACAAAAUAAUGUGUUUCUUCAUGAAAGCAGAAAACAGUGAAUUUUCAUCAUUAAAAAUACCUCUACAAUCUACUUUUCCUUUUAGGGGUAAAAAUUAUAAUCCUUUAUCUUUAUAUCUUCAUGAACUUUCUUUCUCAUUUCAGUCAAAUUUCAUUUGC
rnacentral:lncRNA from 1 species